GACGGAAGGUGCAAGCGUUGCUCGGAAUCACUGGGCGUAAAGGGUGCGUAGGCGGCUUGGUAGGUCUGGUGUGAAAGCCCCGGGCUCAGCCCGGGAAGGGCACUAGAAACUGCCAAGCUAGAGUGCCGGAGGGGAGAGUGGAAUUCCUGGUGUAGCGGUGAAAUGCGCAGAUAUCAGGAAGAACACCCGUGGCGAAGGCGGCUCUCUGGGACGGUACUGACGCUGAGACGCGAAAGCGUGGGGAGCGAACAGG
rnacentral:rRNA from 1 species